UACAGAGGGGGCAAGCGUUGUUCGGAAUUACUGGGCGUAAAGGGCGCGUAGGCGGCCUUCUAAGUCGAACGUGAAAUCCCCGGGCUUAACCCGGGAACUGCGUCCGAUACUGGAAGGCUUGAAUCCGGGAGAGGGAUGCGGAAUUCCAGGUGUAGCGGUGAAAUGCGUAGAUAUCAGGAGGAACACCGGUGGUGUAGACGGCUCACUGGACCGUAACUGACGCUGAGACACGAAAGCGUGGGUAGCAAACAGG
rnacentral:rRNA from 1 species